GGGGGUAUAGCUCAGUGGUAGAGCACCUGCUUGGCACACACAAGGUCCUGAGUUCAAUCCCCAGUGCCUCCG
rfam:Camelus ferus unplaced genomic scaffold scaffold253, whole genome shotgun sequence.